GACGAACGCUGGCGGCGUGCCUAAUACAUGCAAGUAGAACGCUGAAGGAGGAGCUUGCUCUUCUGGAUGAGUUGCGAACGGGUGAGUAACGCGUAGGUAACCUGCCUGGUAGCGGGGGAUAACUAUUGGAAACGAUAGCUAUUACCGCAAAAGAGUAGAUGUUGCAUGACAUUUCCUUAAAAGGUGCAUUUGCUUCACUACCAGAUGGCCCUGCGUUGUAUUAGCUAGUUGGUGGGGUAACGGCUCACCAAGGCGACGAUACAUAGCCGACCUGGGAGGGUGAUCGGCCACACUGGGACUGAGACACGGCCCAGACUCCUACGGGAGGCAGCAGUAGGGAAUCUUCGGCAAUGGACGGAAGUCUGACCGAGCAACGCCGCGUGAGUGAAGAAGGUUUUCGGAUCGUAAAGCUCUGUUGUAAGAGAAGAACGAGUGUGAGAGUGGAAAGUUCACACUGUGACGGUAUCUUACCAGAAAGGGACGGCUAACUACGUG
rnacentral:rRNA from 1 species